rnacentral:rRNA from 1 species
CUUGCCAGGGAACUACGAGCCCCAGCUUAAAACCCAAAGGACUUGGCGGUGCUUUAGACCCCCCUAGAGGAGCCUGUUCUAGAACCGAUAACCCCCGUUCAACCUCACCCUCUCUUGUCUUUCCCGCCUAUAUACCGCCGUCGUCAGCUUACCCUAUGAAGGAUUCACAGUAAGCAGAAUUGGUAGAACCCAAAACGCCAGGUCGAGGUGUAGCGUACGAGAGGGGAAGAAAUGGGCUACAUUCACUGAACCAGUGAACAACGGACGAUGCCUUGAAAUGAACAUCUAAAGGAGGAUUUAGCAGUAAGAGGAGAAACAGAGAGUCCCUCUGAAACUGGCCCUGAAGCGCGCACACACCGCCCGUCACUCUCCCCAAAACAAACAUAAAAAUAAAUAAAAAAAGAUAAAAAUAAAGGGGAGGCAAGUCGUAACAUGGUAAGUGUACCGGAAGGUGCACUUGGAAAAAC